rnacentral:lncRNA from 1 species
GCUGUUCCAACAUCUGCAGGAAGAAGUUAGGGAACUCCCGAACUCUGCUUCCUCUGGAGUGGGGCCCAGGACUCCACAGUCUUCUAGCGGUGCCACAAGGAGCAGUGGCCACUGGGUGGAGAGUAUCAGCAGGAAGGCUGCUGAAUGGCCACCUCAGGUGACACUCCAAGCAGACAGCACAUCCCCCAUGGCCAUGUCAGAGGCAGUGGGCUCAGCCACACCCCUUAGCGACAGGAAGACACACAUUAGCACACUGGACAUUGCUGGUCCCUGGAACUGUCGUCUUGGUGUCCUGGAUAGAGGUGGUGUUCCAAGAGGGAUAUUGAUCCCCUGUGGCCGCAAGAUGAAGCAUAUGAAGUAACUGCUUUGGUGCUGGGCAUGGUGAACACAAGCAGGUCCUCCUGAUGCCACGUCCACCCAUCUACCUGAAAACAAAACAGGCACAGAGCACCUCCUGCUUGCUUGUGUGGUCGCAGGGCCCCGGCGAGUCACCCAAUGCUGCAGAAUCUCAGCCUCACACUAUAGGUCUGUGAUCCAUCCACUUCCACCCACAGACGGGUUUGCUGGAAAGAGUAAAAGCAAAAUUAAACAAAAG